rnacentral:lncRNA from 1 species
GGCGUGCGCGUGAUCGCUCCCGGCCGCCGGGGGUCGAGUGUACUCUGCGCGCCCCGCCCGCCGUCGUCUGCCCCCCGCGAGGCUGGGGAGCGCGGCCGAAAGCCAUGCCCCUCUUCGUGCCCACUGUAGCAGCUGAGCGGGAGGGGUCCUGCUGGGGGCCGGGGCCGGGCGGGAAAGAAGAGGGCUCCUCCCCCGCGGCUUGGGAGGGCUGCUGAACGCCGGAGCCUUACAACUGUUAAACUCAGGCAGAGCUCGGGAAAUGCUGCCCGGAUGGGUGAGUCCUUUUAACACCUCUUGGGUUGAUUUUUCUCACAGGUUUUCGGGGUUUGCAGAGCUCUGAGACUGUGACCACAGGGUGAGACCUCAAGCUGCCCAGUACUGUGGCCCCAUUUCAGAGGCCUUGGGCCUGGGCCAGAGAUGGACGCUGGGGCUGCCUUUUACUCCAAGUUUUUUUCUUCAUUGGUCAUUGGUCAUUGGGCUCCAAGAAAAGCACUUUUUCAGGAAUCAAAGAAGCAGUGAUGGAACGAAAAGCAGAGAAAGCUGAUGAGCCCUGAAUGGAGGUGAAACUUCCAGGAAAUAUCACUUGCCUCUUGAUUAGGGGAAAUCACUUUUGAAUGACCCCGAGUUUUGUGCCCCAAGCAUAGAUUCUGGCAGAAAGAAACAGUCUGGACUGAUGACACACUACAACAUUUGGUCAUGUGGAAAGAAUGAUCUUCAGGAAAAAUCACACCCUUGGCAAAGGCUUUUUACAGAGGCAAGGGCGAGCCGGCCAAUUCUGACAAUAUUCCAGUGGCAAGGGAGCCAGGCUGACUCAGUCAUCAUUACUUGUGUUUCGUCUCUUCCUCCCACAUCUCCUUGUAUAACUGUCUUUUGGGGAGGGGUGAAGUGAUAGUAAGAAAAACAACAGCACUUUGAAAAAGGGACAGGGGGAGAAACAAGAAGGGGAGAAAGAGUUGGGGAGAGCUCUUGGGUGAUGGGGAGAUAGCACUGGGGAUGUUCUGGAGCCUGACAGAACUGUGUGGUCCCUCCAGCUGGAGAUGCUGGGAAAACAGGAAGGGAUUCGGGAGACGGCAGGGAUGAAGUUGGCUCAUGAAAUGCAGGGCUCCCUUAGCACUUUACAAAUACCAGCUUACAAACACUCCACAGUCAUCAGGAAACCCUUGAUGGAUGCUGCACAGAGAUCGAAGUUCAGGAGCAGCACCAAUAUUCAUCCGGGGCAAUUGGAGUGAGAGCAGCACAGGAUCACAGCCUGAUUUGGCCUCAGAGGCUUUCUUAUCUCUUGCAAGAUCUGGAAGCCAUGCAAAAGGUGUCAUGGGGAGAGGCGCUGAUGUCAGGCAUUUAUGGGACCACUGAGUGGGGGCAAAGAGGCAGGAGAAAAAGCCAGUGAUGAUGGGUCGACACCUGCAGGUAGACCCAUUUGCAGGUUAUUAGAAACUAGCUUAUUUAUCCAGCUUUUUUUUUUUUUUUUUUGGAGAUGGAGUCUUGCUCUGUCGCCCAGGCUGGAGUGCAGUGGCGUGAUCUCGGCUCACUGCAACCUCCACCUCCCAGGUUCACGCCAUUCUCCUGCCUCAGCCUCCCAAGUAGCUGGGACUACAGGCAUCUGGCACCACGCCUGGCUAAUUUUUUUGUAUUUUUAGUGGAGACGGGGUUUCACCGUGUUAGCCAGGAUGGUCUUGAACUCCUGACCUCGUGAUCCACCUGCCUUGGCCUCCCAAAGUGCUGGGAUUUCAGGCGUGAGCCACCGCGCCUGGUCCUCCAGCUCUCUUUUUGUGGUUAUCUUAGACGCUAUGAAUCUACUUGAAAACCAAGACGAUUGAUCCUUUAAGUGAGCUGCAGGUGUCCACCUGGGCGUGUUUUCUGCUUCUAAGCCACAGGCAAUUCGGUGACUGAUGGAGAGGGGCUACCACUCUUCCAGCUAAACUCCGCUCUGGUUGGGACCCAGCAAUUAUUUUCCAUAGCGAAGUGUUAAUAAAAUAUCUGUUACUCCCAACACAACCUCCUGGGGGAAGGGACCUGUCUGUCUGCUUCAACUUUGGAUCCUCAGUGCCCACAUCAGGAUACCUGGCCUGAGGUGAGUGCUGUAGAAAUAGCUGUUGAAUGAAUGCAUGAGGGCCUGCUCUGCCUGAGGGCUGGGGACAGAUUGGGUGUUUUCUGUGUCCCCUCCAGAGCAUCCGGUGACCCAGUUUUAGGUCUCAAGGUCACUGCCAAGAAAGAGAAGCUGCUAAAGUGACACCUCUGUGCACCCACAUGACUUAACACAAAAGUUAACAGGAGCUCUUCAAAAACAAGCCUCUCGAGUGUCUGUCUCCUGUUUUCCCUGAGGACAGCAUCAGUGGCAUCAGAUAGGGGUUGGGGCUGGGUGACCUGCUGGUCCUCAGCCAUCACUGUGGCCCAGAGGUCAUUUAAGCAGCUCUCUGCUUAGCAGACAGGCAGAGGGAAUAGAUGGAAGGUACAGGUAAACACUGCAUGUGGCCACCGCGAGGAUACCCCGGAGCCUGGGAAACAGACAGGGACGUCGUAAAACCAACACAUAAUGGACCAGUGCAGAGACAGGCAAAACCAGUCAGAAGAAAUAGGAUGGUGCCUAGCCCAGGGACACCUGACUUAAGGUAUUUUUGUUUGUUUGUUUUGUUUUUUGAGACAGGGGUCUCUCUCUGUCACCCAGGCUGGAGUGCAGUGGCAUACUCACUGCUCACUGCAGUCUCAACCUCCCAGGCUUAAGCGAUCCUCCCACCUCAGCCUCCUUAGUAGUAGCUGGGACUACAGGUGUGCACCAACACAUCCAGUUCAUUUUUGUAUUUUUUUGUAGAGGUGGAGUUUCGCCAUGUUGCUCAGGCUGGUCUCGAACUGGGCUCAAGCGAUCUGCCCGCCUCGGCCUCCCAAAGUGUGGGGAUUACAGGCGUGAGCCACCACACCUCGUUGACCUAAGAGAGGGUCCUGCCGGUAUUACCCUGGAGGAAGGAAUGCUGCACAGAGGCCGAGAGGAAUUUGAACAGACUGGCCUUGCUGGGUUUUUAUCUCUUUUUGUCCAAUCCCAUUUUGACACAGUUGUCCAUGCUCCAAUCAUGCUUAUCCAAUGAAGUUUCCAUAACAGGCCUGAGAGGACAGGGUUCAGGAGCUUCCGGACAGCUGAGCAGGUGGAGGUUCCUGGAGGGUGGUGUGCCAGGGAGGGUGUGGAAGCUCUGCCCCUUCCCCCAUACCUUGUCCUAUGCAUUCCUUUAUCUGCAUCCUUCAUUUUAUUUUAUUUUUUUUUGAGACGGAGUCUUGCUCUUGUCGUCCAGGCUGGAAUGCAGUGGUGCGCGAUCUUGGCGCACUGCAACCUCCGCCUCCCGAGUUCAAGAGAUUCUCUUGCCUGAGCCUCCCGAGUAGCUGGGAUUACAGGCACCCGCCACCAUCCCUGGCUAAUUUUUGUAUUUUUAGUAGAGAUGGGGUUUCACCAUGUUGGCCAGGUUAGUCUUGAACUCCUGACCUCAGGUGAUCCACCCACCUCAGCCUCCCAAAGUGCUGAGAUUACAGGCGUGAGCCACAGUGCCCGGCCUGUAUCCUUUAUAAUAUCUUUUAUAAACAACCAAUCAGUAAAUGUGUUACUCUGACUUCUGUGAGCUGCUCUAGCAAAUUAAUCAAAUCCACAGAAGGGUCAUGGGAACCCCAACUUGAAGCCUGUCCGUCAGAAGUUCCAGAGUCCUGGACUUGUGACUGGUGUCUGAAGUGGGCAAGUCUUGGGGACUGAGCCCCUAGCCUGUGGGAUCUGAUGCUAUCUCCACAUAGAUAGCAAUGGAAUUGAAUUGGCGGGCACCUGGCUGGUGUCUGCUGCAGAGCUCAUUGUUUGCUUAGUGGUGGAGAGAAGUCUCCCUCCACAUGUGGUCACAGCAUCUUCUGUCUGUGUUGAUUGCUUUUGAUGUUGAUCGAGAGAACAGGAAAAAGCACAUUGAAUGUCUCAAUGAUGAAGAUGACAAUAAUCUGGCUUCUAGGUUGUUAUGCGGCAGGCAACAGCUGUGCAGAUCCUAAUAAUCUACUCUGGGUGACAGUUUAACACAGGGGUUGGCAAAUGUGGCCCACUUCCUAUUUUUAUAAAUAAAGUUUUAUUGAAACAUGGCCAUGCUCAUUCAUUUACAUAUCAUGCUGCUCUGCUAGAGUUGAGUGGUGGUGAUAAGACACCUAUGGUCAAUAGAGUCCUUUACAGAAGAAAGGAUUUACUAUUCGGCCCUUUACAGAAAAAGUCUGUCAUCCUGCCCUCAUUCAUUAGUAGACAACCAGCUGGUUCCUGGACUUCCUUGAGGAAAGUGCUAUAUUAAGCAGUUGUGGGUAUAAAGUCUGGGCUCCAACACUUGCUCUGUGACCUUGGGCAAGUUACUUACCUAGUCUGGGCUCAUCAUUUUCACAGGUAUAACAGGAGUAAUGACAUGGUGGGGAUGAAGUGGGAUAUUGUCUGGACCACGCUUUGCAUAGUGUCUCAUGGCUAGGAAGUACUCUAUACAAAGUAGUUACUAUUAUUAGCUAUUAUAUUUCAACUGAUGAAAGGUACAAAGAAACUCCCAGGAAGCGGGUCAUUGCUGCAUGCCGCUGUCUUUAAAGAACGCCCAGCAGCAAUCCCAUACGUAGCCAACAAGAUAUGUGGACGUCAAAAGUAAGUGCUCCUUGGGUGCAGCACACCAACAUGGCACAUAUAUACACAUGUAACAAACCUGCACGUUGUGCACAUGUACCCUAAAACUUAAAGUAUAAUAAUAAAAAAAUUUUAAAAAAAAGUAAGUGCUCCUAUGCAACAUACCCAGUAAAUUAAUGAUUCCAACUUCCUUUUCAGUUAAAGCAGUGGAUCAGAAUUUGAAAAGGAGUAAAGGUCAAGGCCAUGAGGUCUAACUAACACGGUAGCAUCAGAGCCUGGCCCAUAGUAGGCCCCCAGUGUCUACCGGCUGAAUGGAUGGAGGCUGGUUGUUUAACUGUCAAACCAUACUCUCUGAUGAUAAGACCACAGUUAGCCAGAAGAUAAAGUUUCUGCCUCCAAUAUUUUUGGGUCUUAGAAAGGAAAACAGUUUGCUAAAGAUGACAGGAAACUCAAAACAAGGACCUGUUAAUGCUUCCCCCAACUGGACGGAGGCAUUGCAAAAGGAUUCCUGGGCAACAGAUGGGCAAAGAAAAAUGUUUAAAAACAAAAGCAGGCACAUAAGGUCAUGAAUUGGCCCAAAAUAACCUGGGACACUGAGCAGACGGAUGCAAGCAGUGCACCUGACGGAAAUGAGGCCAAGCUGAUGAGCUGAAAUAGCCUCACUGGUGCCCUCCAUCCUGCUUUAGGAGGCCUCAGCAUGGCAAAGAGGCAUGCAUUAGCGUUAUUAGGUUUAGGUUUCCUCACAUCCUUAGUGGAUUGCCUUCAUUCCUAAGUCCCUAAAAAAUUGGAAACCACUCCACUUACCAGGAGCACACUUUGGAAUGCAGAUCUGGAAGCUAUUUUUUCCCUCCAGACAUUUCAUGACUUUGGUUUCUACAACAGCAGGCGAUGGUGAUGCUGCCAAGUUUCAAGAGAAGGGCACCUUAUCUGCAAAGUCACGAAUCCAAGGAUCCACAUGGGCUCCCACUGGCAAGGGCGGAAGGAAGUUGUGUGUCUUAGCUUCUUGAAAGAUCAGAAGAAGAUUGGGAGGUUUGGGUAUACAGGUACCUCACUGUACUGUGGUGCAACCCCCAGGGGAAAGACUGCUGGUAGCUUCUCAGAAUCAGUAGUGGGUGGGGGCUGUGUAGCAGAGCGUCGUAGUAAAUGCCCAUUUGGUUGCAAUGAACAGAAACUCAAACCAGCUAAAGCAAAAAGAGGGCACCUAUAGGGAAGAAAAGCCAGCUCCUGAUGUCCAAGCCUGACUCUUCAGCUUUGCAUAGCCACUGAUUCUCUGACCUUCCUCAUUUCCUCCCAGUAAACUCUCUUUCUGUUUAAGUUAGCCACAGGAGGUAUCUGUUGUUUACAACCAAGGGAUCUUGAGUGAUACAAAGGGUCCUAGUGGAACCCAAGGGCAGGUACUGGAACUGGCCUUCACAAGGAAGGGAACUGGGAAUCAGAAAGUCAUUGGGAAUCAAGGUAACUUUCUUCUGGGUCAGCUGGGAAUGUAUUCAGCUUCAAAUAGCAGAAAACCCAAUGUGAGUAGAUUGUAAAAAUCUGGAGCUCCUCCCACACAGACUCUGGCUUUAUCUGAUGGGAUAUUAACAAACAUAAGGCAAGUAGAAACUUGAAAAGUGCUUGUGCACUGGGGCUUGUUCUCACCUGCUGUUCUUGGCAACCUGUGGCCACCACAUGUGAACGAGCCUAGUCCAGUCGGCUGAAGGAUGAGUGGGCCUGCUGAGCAGAGACAAAGCGUGGCAGUGGAAGGCCUCUCUAGACCAGGUUUCUCAACCUCAGUGCUACUGACAUUUUAGAUCAAAUAAUUCUUUGUUAUGGGGAGUUCUUUUGUCCAUUGUAGAAUGUUUAGCAGCACCUUUGGCCUCUACCUCUAGAAGAGCACCUGCCCUUCCUUCGUUGUGACAACUAAAAUUAUGUCCAGACAUGGCCAAAGUUCUCUUGGGGGGCAAAAUUGCUCCUUGUUGAGAACUACUACCCUAACCCAACUUGCCUGCCAAGGCCAGGUGUAUGAGGCCAGGUGUAUGAAAGAGGCCAUUCUAAACCAUCCAGCCCCAGCCAAGACAGUCCAGACAGGAAAAGUGUGCAGCUUGACCCAUGGAAUCAAAAGAAAUAAUAAAUAUUUG